rnacentral:rRNA from 1 species
GACGUAGGGGGCCAGCGUUGUUCGGAAUUACUGGGCGUAAAGCGCGUGUAGGCGGCCCUGCAAGUCGGAUGUGAAAUCCCACGGCUCAACCGUGGAAGUGCAUUCGAAACUGCAGGGCUAGAGUCCUGGAGAGGAAGGUGGAAUGCUUGGUGUAGAGGUGAAAUUCGUAGAUAUCAAGCGGAACACCGGUGGCGAAGGCGGCCUUCUGGACAGUGACUGACGCUGAGACGCGAAAGCGUGGGGAGCAAACAGG